ACAGUACGUGAAACCGCAUGCAGGUAAACGGGUGGCGUCAAGCUGCAAGCCCAGAGGAUUCAGCUGGCUAGGAUGUUGUGUAUGCGCUUGCGCAUCUAUCAGUCAGAAUAAGAUGUGAUAGUCCACUGGUAAACGGUGGGCCCGGCCGCAAGGUUGGGAUAUGUGUACCGGGCGGAAGCCGGAGCAUGCUAUUCGUCUGUUGGGCUGUCUAGUCAGUGCACUUUCUCUGUGGUGAACACCACGACCGGUGGAAUUGCCAGUCUGCUGUAGUCAAGUCGUAUUCAGUCGGUUCUUGUAGCCAACUGGGUGCGAUCACAGGCAAACUCAGUAAACGGCGUAGGGGUGUUUCGGCAUCCUUGCGUGUUAUCGGCUGCUGGUUGUCAACGGGCCUGCCUGAUGAUUGUUGUAACCGUCAUUGGGUGGUCUGGUGGACUAUGGUGGUAAGAAUAACUGUGCAAGGCAUCGGAGUUCUCGGCCUCAAAUGCAUCCUGCAUACACGUUACAAGUGGAGUGGGGUGCCAUUGCAGCCUGCCUGUUGUUGGGUCUGAUUGUCGUGUCGCCUGCGCAAAGUGGGCCCGGCAGUGGCCUGAUGCGGGAUGGGUUGUGGAUGGUGCUUCCUGUGUAGGGUGCGGUGGGUCAAAUAGUCAGUGG
rnacentral:rRNA from 1 species